GACGAACGCUGGCGGCGUGCUUAACACAUGCAAGUCGAACGGAAAGGCCCUGCUUUUGUGGGGUGCUCGAGUGGCGAACGGGUGAGUAACACGUGAGUAACCUGCCCUUGACUUUGGGAUAACUUCAGGAAACUGGGGCUAAUACCGGAUAGGAGCUCCUGCUGCAUGGUGGGGGUUGGAAAGUUUCGGCGGUUGGGGAUGGACUCGCGGCUUAUCAGCUUGUUGGUGGGGUAGUGGCCUACCAAGGCUUUGACGGGUGGCCGGCCUGAGAGGGUGACCGGCCACAUUGGGACUGAGAUACGGCCCAGACUCCUACGGGAGGCAGCAGUGGGGAAUAUUGCACAAUGGGCGGAAGCCUGAUGCAGCAACGCCGCGUGCGGGAUGACGGCCUUCGGGUUGUAAACCGCUUUCGCCUGUGACGAAGCGUGAGUGACGGUAAUGGGUAAAGAAGCACCGGCUAACUACGUG
rnacentral:rRNA from 1 species